GCGAGAGUAGUCUAGUGGUUAUGAUGUCUGCUUUACAUUCACAACAAUGUUUUAAGCGCAGAAGGUCGGGAGUUCGAUCCUCCCCUCUCGUA